AGGCCGACAGGCGUAGUCGAUGGGUAACCAGUUGAUAUUCUGGUACCGGCUUGUCACCGUCCGUGUCGAGGUGUGUGAUGCUAAGCAUGUGAGCUUGUCUUGGGAGUGUUUUUGAUGCUUCUGGGGUGGGUGAGUGUGUGAACCGAUCAUGUAGUAGGCAAGCUGCGGAGGGACGCAGUGAGGUAGCUCAUCCCCGGUGAUGGUUGUCCGGGGCUAAGUGUGUGGACUGUCUGGUAGGUAAAUCCGCUGGGCGUGAAGGUUGAGGCAUGAUGGGGAGCCCAUGGUUGUGGGUGAGUGAGUGAUCCUGUACUGUCGAGAAAAGCUUCGUGAGCGAGGUGGCGGGUCCGCCCGUACCCUAAACCGACACUGGUGGAUAGGUAGAGUAUACCGAGGCGAUCGAGUGAAUCGUGGUGAAGGAACUCGGCAAAAUGCCCCCGUAACUUUGGGAUAAGGGGGACCUGAGCUGUCGUGCACCCGUGCGGUGUGGUGGCGGUGAGGGGCGCAGAGUCCAGGGGGAAACGACUGUUUACCAAAAACACAGGUCCGUGCGAAGUCGUAAGACG
rnacentral:rRNA from 1 species